rnacentral:rRNA from 1 species
GAUGAACGCUGGCGGCGUGCCUAAUACAUGCAAGUCGAGCGAACGGAUGAGGAGCUUGCUUCUCUGAUGUUAGCGGCGGACGGGUGAGUAACACGUGGAUAACCUACCUAUAAGACUGGGAUAACUUCGGGAAACCGGAGCUUAUACCGGAUAAUAUCUUGAACCGCAUGGUUCAAAAGUGAAAGACGGUCUUGCUGUCACUUAUAGAUGGAUCCGCGCUGCAUUAGCUAGUUGGUAAGGUAACGGCUUACCAAGGCAACGAUGCAUAGCCGACCUGAGAGGGUGAUCGGCCACACUGGAACUGAGACACGGUCCAGACUCCUACGGGAGGCAGCAGUAGGGAAUCGUCCGCAAUGGGCGAAAGCCUGACGGAGCAACGCCGCGUGAGUGAUGAAGGUCUUCGGAUCGUAAAACUCUGUUAUUAGGGAAGAACAUAUGUGUAAGUAACUGUGCACAUCGUGACGGUACCUAAUCAGAAAGCCACGGCUAACUACGUG